CCUACGGGAGGCUGCAGUGGGGAAUAUUGCACAAUGGGGGAAACCCUGAUGCAGCGACGCCGCGUGAGCGAUGAAGUAUUUCGGUAUGUAAAGCUCUAUCAGCAGGGAAGAAAAUGACGGUACCUGACUAAGAAGCCCCGGCUAACUACGUGCCAGCAGCCGCGGUAAUACGUAGGGGGCAAGCGUUAUCCGGAUUUACUGGGUGUAAAGGGAGCGUAGACGGCUGUGCAAGCCAGAUGUGAAAGCCCGGGGCUCAACCCCGGGACUGCAUUUGGAACUGUGUGGCUGGAGUGCCGGAGAGGCAGGCGGAAUUCCUGGUGGAGCGGUGGAAUGCGUAGAUAUUAGGAGGAACACCAGUGGCGAAGGCGGCCUGCUGGACGAUGACUGACGUUGAGGCUCGAAAGCGUGGGGAGCAAACAGGAUUAGAUACCCGAGUAGUC
rnacentral:rRNA from 1 species